UACAUGUGGGGCAAGCGUUGUUCGGAAUUACUGGGCAUAAAGGGUGCGUAGGCGGCUUGUUAAGUCAGGGGUGAAAGUUUUCAGCCCAACCGGAAAAUGGCCUUUGAUACUGGCGAGCUCGAGUGCGUGAGGGGUGACUGGAACGAGCAGUGUAGCGGUGAAAUGCGUAGAUAUUGCUCGGAAGGCCAACGGCGAAGGCAGGUCACUGGUACGCAACUGACGCUGAGGCACGAAAGCGUGGGGAGCAAACAGG
rnacentral:rRNA from 1 species